AAUGAACGCUGGCGGCAUGGAUUAGGCAUGCAAGUCGAACGGGUCCCCUCGGGGACUAGUGGCGCAAGGGUGAGUAACACGUGAGCAACCUGCCCCCGAAUCCGGAAUAAGCCAGGGAAACUUGGUCUAAAACCGGAUGUCGGCUGAUUUCCGCAUGGUUUUCAGCCGAAAUAUUCAUAGUUCGGGGAUGGGCUCGCGCCCCAUUAUGCUUGUUGGCGGGGUAACGGCCCACCAAGGCUACGACGGGUAGGUGGUCUGAGAGGAUGGUCACCCACACUGGGACUGAGACACUGCCCAGACUCCUACGGGAGGCUGCAGUCGAGAAUCUUCCGCAAUGGGCGCAAGCCUGACGGAGCAAUGCCGCGUGAGGGGACGAAGGCCUUCGGGUCGUAAACCUCUGUCAUCCGGGACGAAAGCCAUGACGGUACCGGAAAAGGAAGCCACGGCUAACCACGUG
rnacentral:rRNA from 1 species